AAGGCGAGGCAGAGCAGUCGACUAGGCCACGUGUCAAGAUGCUGGCGAUUGCUGCUGGUCACCUACCCCACAGACUGCCCUAGCACCGGCUGCCUGCAGGAAACCCAGCACUACCAUCAUGACCCUGCAGCAGACAUUCACCCUCUGUGUACCUGGUGCUUCUGAAUCUUUGUGGACUUUUGAUGGUGACCCCACAUCAGCUCUGGAGGUGAUACACGUGAUCCAGACUUAGAUAAUGAGGCCAUCCAAUUGCCCUGGCCACCACGAUUCCUUCAGGGAGGAGAACAUGACCCAUUCAAACCAAAGCCAUUUAGCAAGACUUUCAGUAGAAUUCCUGGGAAGGAUCAUCUCUCUUCCAUGCUGGAUAUAAUGCUGAGAAAACAUAUGGUAUGGAGCUGCCACCAUUAUCUACCAUGUGAAGCCCAUGACAGAAGCCACUCACAGGAGAAACUCUGAUCUGGUUCUCUAAGUAAGCAGAGAUUGUGAGCCCUCUGGAAACACUUUCGUGUUCUACUUGCCAUCUUUGUCAGAAAAAUGUGAGGUGGGUUCAUACUGUUGCCUUAGGCAAAAAGUGCACUACUCCCUUUGGGAUGUUUCUGCACAGCAAAAAUUUCUGUCUUCUCUAUGUUUGCACAACUCUGGAGGGAAUGAUGGAUUAAUUUGGAUAAGGGGCCGAGGCUGCUUGAGAG